UUGGAAUGAAAAGGUGAACUCAGCAGGUGCGGUGUGAGGUCCAGUAGUGCCUGGUGCGUGGGGUGUGGUUUUUUGUUCGCUCGCUAAAGGUGGCGAGGUGAUGUUUUCCAGCAACAGUAGAGAGGCUACAGGCGACCUCCAUGACGCAUCAAGUAUCUAGGGAGCAGAGGCAGCCAAGCAAUCUUGUGCCUGGAAGUACUUCCAUGGCUGAGUUUCUCAAUGACAUCGCAUACUGACAAACAAGGAAUUUAGCCACACGAUGGUGAAUGCCCACAAAGUUGCAUCAACCUGGAAUAAUGAAUAAGCAGGGACAGGAUACAGCCCAUGAAGGAGAAGACUGCUGCUAUAGUUCACUACAUAGUCACUGCCAGACACGCCAUAGAAGGUUAUUCCUGCUGAGUUCCUCGACUUGGAACUGUCAACUGUGGUUCAUGUUUGGCCUCUGUGGGAUCCAGUGAUGUGGAAUGUGCUUUAGCAUGAUUUCAGAAGAUGAUGAUGCAGGUGAGGUCCCAUUCAUGAUGUGUGAGUCAGCCAUGGCCACCUGAGACUGAGCCAGUGGGAAUGACAUGCGAUGACUGGGGUUCUUUCUACUGGUGCCACCACGCCUCAGGACAACAUCUGAACCAACAGUCAUCGUCAGUGAAGAGGUGGAAGAGGAGGAGGAGAGAGGAGAAAGUGGACUCUCUGAUUCAGAAAUGUGAAUGUGAAUGAAGUUGUAUAAACUUCAUCUAGAUCAAAGAUGUGAGGAAACUGUAGGUAAGGUCAGUCUCAGUACAUCUCCCUCAUGAACUGCCAAUCAACGUGGCUCACUCACAAAUGAUGCUACCUACAUAUGUUAUAUUUCACUUUUGUAUAACCAUUGAAGACAGAUAGUAUAGGAUGCAUGCACAUUUCACAACUUUCUCAAAAUUGAGGAUUCCAUUUGUUUUUAGAAAUUUCUACACCACCUGGACUUUCCUCAGAACUCUUCUCUAAGUUUUAUGUGAACAAAAAUUGCCCAAUAUGUAACAUUAAUCCAGGUUUCAAUUUGUAAGUAGUAGCUUUGAAGAAAGAGGCUUUGCAUUCCUAUGUUAUUACUAAAUUAAAAUAGGCCUGUAGUUUAUAUUUUCAAAUAGCAAGGUUAGAGUGCACUCAUGAAAGAUUUUUCUGCAAACUUUUCCUAAUAUGAUGUACGAGUAUCUAUACUACUAUACAUGAAAAUUAUGUUAC